CGUGUAGGCGGUCAGGUAGGUCCGUCGUGAAAACUCGAGGCUCAACCUCGAGACGCCGAUGGAAACCAUCUGACUAGAGUCCGGAAGAGGAGAGUGGAAUUCCUGGUGUAGCGGUGAAAUGCGCAGAUAUCAGGAAGAACACCCGUGGCUAAGGCGGCUCUCUAGUACGGUACUGACGCUGAGACGCGAAAGCGUGGGAGCGAACA
rnacentral:rRNA from 1 species